rnacentral:rRNA from 1 species
GACGAACCGUGCGAACGUUAUUCGGAAUCAUUGGGCUUAAAGGGCGCGUAGGCGGCGAUAUAAGUUGGAAGUGAAAUCCCAUCGGCUCAACCGUGGAAUAGCUCCCAGUACUGUAUCGCUCGAGGGGGAUAGGGGUCUGCGGAACUACCGGUGGAGCGGUGAAAUGUGUUGAUAUCGGUGGGAACGCCAGUGGCGAAAGCGGCAGACUUGACCCUUCCUGACGCUGAGUGCGCGAAAGCUAGGGGAGCAAACGGG